GGUAUGUCUCCCUAAUAUUAAACAAUACCACAGAGCAGUGAUACUUUCAACAGGAAUACUGCUUCAUGCCCAGCCUAGCACGAUCCAGUGGGUGGACAUGGAAAGAGCACAAUUCAAAGAACAACCCCUAAUCGACUACUUGUGGACACUCAAACGGUUUAGAAUUAGACGCAAUUACCCAUUCCCAACAACGCAACUCACAAUAUCUUUAUGGGAUACCUUUAUGGAGACUAUAGGUCAC